rnacentral:rRNA from 1 species
CUACGGAGGGUGCAAGCGUUAUUCGGAAUCACUGGGCGUAAAGGACGCGUAGGCGGGUUUGUAAGUCAGGUGUGAAAUCCUACAGCUUAACUGUAGAACUGCACUUGAAACUACAGACCUAGAGUAUGGGAGGGGCAGAUGGAAUUAGUGGUGUAGGGGUAAAAUCCGUAGAUAUCACUAGGAAUACCGAAAGCGAAGGCGAUCUGCUGGAACAUAACUGACGCUAAGGCGUGAAAGCGUGGGGAGCAAACAGGAUUAGAAACCCGAGUAGUCC